rnacentral:tRNA from 1 species
GCCUCCAUAGCAUAGUGGUUCUGUGCUAGGGAGUUCUGUGUAGGUCAGCACACGGAUCGCUAGUUCGAAUCUAGCUGGAGGCA